rnacentral:lncRNA from 1 species
AGUUAAUGAUCCUUAUUAGGACCUGGAAAAGCAGUCACUCCUGCCAUGUCCCGGCUUUAAGGAGCAUUUUAUUAUUACACGCCACUCUGCAAAUUCACGAGAGAAGUCGUGGCCCAUUUGUCAGCAGGGCCAACGCCCCGGGGAUGCUGACAAGAAGCCUCUGUCCUGGGACUGACUGGGCCAGAUUUCUGGCUCCACUUGCCCUCCCUGCCACCCCCACAUGUCCAUCACCCUCAAGCUGCCAGUGCACCAGCUGCCUUCCCUGAAAAGUCCCACCUUGAGGCUG